CAAAACGCCGUGGCUUUGCUGUCACAUAAACCUGCACAUGGGAUCAUUAACUCCGCUCCAAAUCGAGAUUACAGUGGCCAGACUGCUUGGUGGGGAUAAACUGGCUGGCGGGUUUCCCCGUCUCUAUGCCCUAAUCUUACCUACUCAAACCUAACUUUGCCAAGCAAGGGUUAUUUCAGUAAGUGAAGGGACCAUGUCAAGCAUUUUUCUGUAAGGUGAACGUGGUGUUGCCUUGUACAGUACAAAUCGGGGAAUGAAUUAGGAGAAUAUUAUUACUACUAGAAUUCUAUUUAUGCUAUUUUUCUAAUCUAAUAUAUUGUUUACAGUGGGAUUUUGAACAGUUCCAGCCCUCAACCAAAGCGAUUAGUAGAGGCACACCAAGGCAAAUCCACGGGUUUAGACAAAUAAACCAUACUCAGUGUCAACAUCUUUCAUGGUAGGACUGAGGCAGACAGGAUCUGCUGGCAGCUGUGCCAUGGUUUGUAAGUCAUCUCCCAAGCUAAACGUGUCACCUCUGCCAGGUAACCACCUCCAGCACAGGGAAGAGUGAGUGUCAUGGCUUGGCUGCAUGUCAGGCUCAAUCUGACUCUCAGUGCCCUUUACCAGCUGUUCCCUGGUGCCAGCAGUGAGCAAAGGAUUAGGUGGUAACAGUUUUGUAAACUGCCGUGGCAAGACUUGCCCCUCAGUUUCUGUAGUUCCAGUAAAGAAUAAGCUCUUCUAAUACAAAUUGCAGAUUUUGUUCUUCAGCAGGGGCUUGGUUGCUGCUAGGACAGGUGAGGCUGGGCCAGAAGAGUUCUGCAAACAGCCACUCAGUUUUUCUAAAAAAGGAGGGCAGAGCUUGAUGCUGGAAAGGAGAACUCCUGAAAUGCAGAGCCAAGCUAGUUCUCUGAGAAAUACUCCCAUUAAUCUCAGUGAGGUAUCACUGUUAAUAUGUUGGUAUAAUCUGUCAUCCAAUUUUGCAGUGUCACUGGUCAUAAAGUUUCAUAUUGCCUAUGUUAUCUUUUAAUCCAAAAGGAGCAAAGUUUGAGGACGCUGCUGAAGAGCCCAGACUUGCACACAGCUACAUUUCAACAGCUGAAGUGCCAGCAGUAUCCCAGUAUCCUGGCUUUAUAUUGAGGCUAUGGAAUGGGGCUGAGCUUCACCUUACACAAACUGCAGACCAAGCUGGAGGCCCAUAACACAACCAAAAUUGGAUCAAUUCUUUUGUAACAACACCCUUGUUCUAAGGCAUGGAGCUGCAGAGGAUCUUCCACAGCUGUGCUUUCACCACCUCCAGGACCAGAAACCCAAAAUGCACAGUAGAGACCAAACCUUUGGUUUUUUUCACUGAACACAAAUGAAAUGUCUUCUUACCUCAGGGGAAACAAAAUACACCUGAGAGCUGAAUUUCCUCUGGAGGUACCCAACCCUCUCCUUUGGAAAACUGAAUUUCUAAUCAGGCACUCAGAGGCAGGUCAGCCCUGGUUUGCCAGCUGGACUGGACUGCAGAAGUGACAGAGAGGGGAGCACAGGCUGGGGAGAUUUACAAAUCUGCUCUAUACAUUGCAACAGACCUCAUGCAAAGUCAACAUGGCCUUGCAUCAUCAAGCACAGGCUGGAGCCAGGAAACAGCUCAGCUGGAGAAGCCACAGAAUGAGGAGAGAACAAGCCUGUUCAGUGUCCCUGGGAUCAUAACACCUCCCCUGCCCUGAUGACCUGCCUGCUUUGCCUGGAGGGCUGGAAAUUGCAGAGCUGCUGGUGGCUGAUGAGAAAUUAUUUAAAGGAAGCAUUACUGAGAACCCUGCAGAGAGCAAACCACAGCCCUGCACUGCUCCCCACGGGGCACAGCUGAAAUUUGGGAAGAUUCUGUCUCACUAAGGGACAUGUCCUUCAGGUUCAGGACAGGUGGAGUGUUUGUGCUUCAGCAAGCCCAGGCUGCUGCUGUCUGCUCUUUUGGAAGGAAAAAAGGUAGGUUUCCUCUUUUUGAGGAAACAAGUGUGUGACUUACAUCAAAUCUGUGCUUAAAAUGCUCCUGAAACAGGAAUGCAGAGAAAGGGAAAGAAAUCACCUGUAAUAAGCGCUAUUAAUAUGUCUCCAUCAAGUAUUGUCUUUUUUUGGUUGUUGUUGGGGAGGGUAUGAGGUGCAGUGGCUGUACCCAAUGGACAAGGCACCUACAGACAUCAUAUCAUCUGCUGCUACUCACAGAUUUUUUCAAUCCACCUUUUAUGCUCAUUAUAUUCCCUUUAUGUGUGCCCAGUUUCCAGCAAUAAACUUAAGACAAUUUCCAUUAAUCUCUCAGAAAUUCAGGGGGUUUGUCAUUAGAAGAAGGCAAAGGUGGAUAUGCCAAAUUCCUCCCUGCCCUCCUCUUUUUUUAAAGGUUUACCCCUAGAAUUGACCUGAAUUUGUAUACUUAUUUUACAUGACAGAAGUGGCAGAGAUAAAAAUAGAAUAUGAAGAAUAUUACAUAAUGAAGUGAUAAAAGGAUAUUGAUUACUUAGGCAAUAUAAUUACUACAAAUAAAGGUGGAUGCUAAGCCUAUAUUCCUUGCUCAUGCUGAAGCCAAUAGCAGUUAAAUUCAGUGUAUUUUUAGAGUAAUAAAGAGCUAUACCAUGGGCCCAAUCAGCUUCAAUACUGAAGGAGUGCAAAAUGAGAGUGCUUAAACAAUAUGUCCAAAUCUUCUAGGCAUUCAGGAAGAGACACAAAUAUAUAAUCAUUCAUAAUUAACAAUUUCUCCAUGGCACUAUCCGUGAAAGGAUCUCAUGUUCCUUAAUAAAUAUUAAUUAAAUAAACCCUACACCCC